UCCGAAUGGAAGUUCAUUCAUUGGAGUAGUGCCAAGCAAGAAAGUGCUCAAAGGUAUCAUAGUUCAUAGGUAUUAACAGGAUCCUUCUUGCAUCAAUUGGAUUGAAAAUUGACGUGAUUAGCUGCUCGUCCCAAGUACCCGAAGCAGGGUCAAUCAACUCAUUUACCUUUGUGAGAAGUGUACCUCCCCUUUCCGUAGUGAUUUUACUAUUGGGACUUCCUGGAACCCAAGGGUCGUUCCAUAUGUUAAUUUGCUCUCCUGUUCCAAUUCUCCUAAUGUGUCUACGUUUAUAUGCAUAUCCAGCUUUACUGCACAAAGCCCCGGCCCUGACCUCUUAUUUUUGAUUGAGUGAAUGCAUUAAUAAGCCACCAGAAUGUUAUCCGUUAUUAAACGGCCGGGUACAACAAAAGCACUCUGUGUUUGUGAAAUUACCUCAUCCAGUAC
rnacentral:lncRNA from 1 species